rnacentral:rRNA from 1 species
UAACGCGUGAGGAACCUGCCUUUCAGUGGGGGACAACAGUUGGAAACGACUGCUAAUACCGCAUGAAGCAUUUAGGGGGCAUCCCCUGAAUGCCAAAGAUUUAUUGCUGAAAGAUGGCCUCGCGUCUGAUUAGCUAGUUGGUGAGGUAACGGCCCACCAAGGCGACGAUCAGUAGCCGGACUGAGAGGUUGAACGGCCACAUUGGGACUGAGAUACGGCCCAGACUCCUACGGGAGGCAGCAGUGGGGAAUAUUGGGCAAUGGGCGCAAGCCUGACCCAGCAACGCCGCGUGAAGGAAGAAGGCUUUCGGGUUGUAAACUUCUUUUGUCAGGGACGAGUAGAAGACGGUACCUGACGAAUAAGCCACGGCUAACUACGUGCCAGCAGCCGCGGUAAUACGUAGGUGGCAAGCGUUGUCCGGAUUUACUGGGUGUAAAGGGCGUGUAGCCGGGAGGGCAAGUCAGAUGUGAAAUCCACGGGCUCAACUCGUG